rnacentral:rRNA from 1 species
AGAUACCCCAUUAAAUUAAAUUAAUAUUUAGUAGUAAGUGAAAUUCAUGAAACUAAAUUUAAUUGGCGGCUUAUUAAAUUUUUUAGAGGAAUUUAUUCUAUAAAGGAUUUAACACCAAAAUCUUACUUUUUUUUGCAAAAAAUCAGUUUGUAUAUCGCUAUUUAUAAAUAUUUAAAUAUAUUUACACGACUUAUUAUCCAGAACCAAAUUUUAGGUAAUGAUGCAGCUUAUAAAAAAGAUUGAAAUAAAUUAUAUUAUUUAAUAAUUAACAAUAAAUUUUUGUAAAAAAAUUUUUAAGUAAAAUUUAAAAGUAAAAUUUACACAUAAAGUUAAUUUGAAUUUAAAUUUAAAUGUGUACAUAUUGCCCGUCACUCUCUUCUAAGAGAUA